CCCAGGGACCGGCUUUCUACAACAUUCCUGGUCAGCCACAAGUUGCCUACCCAGCCCAGCAGGGGCAGUAUCCGCAAGCUCAAGCGCCCCCAACCGCCUACCCAGCCCAGCAGGGGCAGUAUCCGCAGGCUCAAGCGCCCCCCACCGGUGAACAACAGUACCAAGAACUCGUUAAAUAGGUCAUCGAUGAUCUUUGACCUGAUGGAAUCACGAUAUCUGGAGUUGGAAGAAGAAAUAAAUUCUUGAUUUUUCAUGUUAAGCUGUAUCUGGAUGUACAUUAGGUUUUAGCCGUUCAUGCAAUGCGUCAAGAAAUAGAUUUAGAGGCAAUGAAAUAAUAUUGUCCUGCUCCUUUCUAGAAUAAUUCAAAUGAAAGUUGGAGAACUGAUUGACGCUUAUUUUUUUUUUUAUAAAUGAAGAAAGCAUAACGUACUCAGAUAUUUACUGAAGAGCUGUUGUUUCAUAAAGGAUAAUGUAUUUUUUACACAGACUAAUAUUGAAAUAUUUUUCGAAAUCACGGCAUCGGAUGCAGACAUUGGCUUAAUUUGUUGAGCUCCCGUGCACUGUAGGGAUUUUGGCAUCAUCGGAUUUUGUUGCCACAUAUUCGAAGACGUACAACAAUGAAAGCCAAAGCCAGGUUUGACACUUAACAAAUAAAGUAGUCACUCAUAUACAUUUUACAUGGGGCAGGAUAAAAUCCUGCGUAUUGGGAAUAUUGAGUUGAAGUUUAUUUUUUUUCUGGUUAUGGAACUUACUAUGCAAUGUGGCAUCGGAAGGGUUCAGUUUUAUGUGAGACUUGGCGGAAUUUGUAGUAUUACGAAAUAAGUCUGUACAACACAUAAUGAGCUAUUUCUUCGAUUGUGACCAUUAGAUCCAUUUGGUUAAUCUAGGUGAUGGCUGACAUUGAUUUUAGGUUGUAAUUCACGAACUUUGUAUGAGUUUAGGCCUACAGCGUGCUCAGUGACUAUCCACGUCAAUGACUGUCAGAUUUGUCUAUUAUACAGGAUGAGUGAAAAAGAAAGUGACCUGGAGUGGUUGUUUGCCUCUUAAAAAGCAAUAACAGUUGACACACCAACGAAGCGUACAUUAAACAAGCAUGCUUUUUCCACUCAUUUCAACAAAUAAAAUACUGAAAUUGAUCCAUGCCAUUAGAAGUUUACUAAAAAUGUUACAAACAGACUAUAUUUAAUUUUUUUACUAAAAGAUUGCAUUUUAGCGCUGUCAAUGGAAUGCCCUAAGAAGCUAUAUUGUAUUAUGUGAGAACCACAGAUUACCCACAUACAUUCAGAUACAAGUGAGAUUUUGAUAAUAUUUUUCUGAAAUAAUGAUGGUGAUUUUUGUCCGUUUUCCUGGGUAAAUGUUUGUUCUUUCUUAAAAUCAGGAAAACGCAUGUACAAACAUGUUCAUUGGUUUACAGCUGAAUUUAUGGAUGUGUGUAUUAAAAUAUAUUAGCUUGUGAAAAUAGCACGCAAAAUACAUGACAUUUUCAAUGUUACCAGUGAAUAAUAUGUACUUAAUCGCCCUAUGUUUAUUAAACUGAGCGAGCCACAUAUUUUUUUUAACAUAUCUUAUUACAUUUACGUUUUAGCAGUCGAUCAUGCGCCAGAAAUAGGUUUAGAUUUAAUGCAAUUUGUAUGGCUCCAUUUUUUCACUACUUUUCAUAAAAUUACACUUAGAAUGUUGGAGAACUGAUGCUUAAUUCUUUAUAUAAGUAUAACGUACUCAGAUAUUUACUCAAGAGCUUUUGUAUGAUGGAUAAUGUAUAUUUUAAAUACACUGAUAUUGUGCCUUUCCCGAAAUCAUGGCAUCGGCUGAUGCGUUGGCUUCAUGAUUUGAGCUCCUAAAUUCUAAACCCAGUUGGCUCGAUCUGAUAUUCUUUGGCCGCACAUUCAAAGAAAGGAAUUAUAGCCUGAUACAUUUUACAGGGGGCGUGAUCAAAUCGGUCAUAUGCGGAAUAUUGAGUUGAUGUUUAUUUGUUCACGUUUUGGAUAUGCCACUUAUUGCAAUGUGGCAACGGAAGUGUUCAAUUUAUUUUUGGUGAGAUUUUUUUUGCAUGGAUAAACACUGAAGAAAAUAAACGAGCAGUGCCCACUUGUACAAAGGAACCAAAAGAAGGAAUGCAGUAAUGAUAGUUAUACAGAACAUUUGUACGGGGCAAAACCUUCAUUUAUGUUUUGCUUGGGUAUGUUGCUAAAAAUAUGAGUUGCAUUGAUUUCAUUUUUGUGAUGCCUUUUGUAUCAUAAACUACUUUAGUCUUACGAAACCGUUCAGGGAAAGGGUUUUAAAACUGUAAAAUCAGAACAUCACGUGCAUUUUUGUAAUUCCUUAUAUUUCCUUUUCUAUCGUCCAUUAUGCAUACCUUUAUGGAAGGUCUAACAUAUAAAGAAUGUUUUGAUUCUGAUCGCCGCGGUCCUCAAUUGAGGUCAAUAAAGAAAUUCAAAUGUCUUGAAUUUA
rnacentral:lncRNA from 1 species